rnacentral:rRNA from 1 species
CUCGUAGGUGGUUCGGUAAGUCGGAUGUGAAAUCUCCAGGCUCAACCUGGAGGGGUCAUUCGAUACUGCCGUGACUAGAGGUCGGUAGGGGAGUGUGGAAUUCCUGGUGGAGCGGUGAAAUGCGCAGAUAUCAGGAGGAACACCCGUAGCGAAGGCGGCACUCUGGCCGAUACUGACACUGAGGAGCGAAAGCGUGGGGAGCGAACA